rnacentral:snRNA from 1 species
UAGUGUUAUAGCUCUUAGAAUUUGUCUAGCAGGUUUUUCAGUUUUUAGUAGAACCACU